rnacentral:rRNA from 1 species
CCUACGGGGUGCAGCAGUGGGGAAUAUUGGACAAUGGGCGAAAGCCUGAUCCAGCCAUGCCGCGUGUGUGAAGAAGGCCUUCGGGUUGUAAAGCACUUUCAGUGGGGAAGAAAGCCUUGGGGCUAAUACCCUCGAGGAAGGACAUCACCCACAGAAGAAGCACCGGCUAACUCCGUGCCAGCAGCCGCGGUAAUACGGAGGGUGCGAGCGUUAAUCGGAAUUACUGGGCGUAAAGCGCGCGUAGGCGGUCUGAUAAGCCGGGUGUGAAAGCCCCGGGCUCAACCUGGGAACGGCAUCCGGAACUGUCAGGCUAGAGUACAGGAGAGGAAGGUAGAAUUCCCGGUGUAGCGGUGAAAUGCGUAGAGAUCGGGAGGAAUACCAGUGGCGAAGGCGGCCUUCUGGACUGACACUGACGCUGAGGUGCGAAAGCGUGGGUAGCAAACAGGAUUAGAUACCCCUGUAGUC